rnacentral:rRNA from 1 species
AACGAACGCUGGCGGCGUGCCUAACACAUGCAAGUCGAACGUGAUUAGAGAGCUUGCUCUCUAUGAAAGUGGCGCACGGGUGAGUAACGCGUAGAUAAUCUACCUGAUGAUUCGGGAUAACACUUCGAAAGGGGUGCUAAUACCGGAUAAGCCCACGGAGUCCUUGGACUCUGCGGGAAAAGGGGGGGAUCGCAAGACCUUCCGUCAUCAGAUGAGUCUGCGUACCAUUAGCUAGUUGGUAGGGUAAAGGCCUACCAAGGCGACGAUGGUUAGCUGGUCUGAGAGGAUGAUCAGCCACACUGGAACUGAGACACGGUCCAGACUCCUACGGGAGGCAGCAGUGGGGAAUUUUGCGCAAUGGGGGAAACCCUGACGCAGCAACGCCGCGUGAGUGAUGAAGGCCCUUGGGUCGUAAAGCUCUGACAGAGGGAAAGAAAUGCAGGGGAGCUAAUAUCUCUUUUGCUUGACGGUACCCUCAAAGGAAGCACCGGCUAACUCCGUGCCAGCAGCCGCAGUAAGAC